UACGAAUGUGGCAAGCGUUGUUCGGAAUCACUGGGCGUAAAGAAUGCGUAGGCGGCUUGACAAGUCAGGAGUGAAAUCCCAAGGCUCAACCUUGGAACUGCUUUUGAAACUGUCUUGCUAGAGUCCCGGAGGGGUUGGCGGAAUUCCGAGUGUAGAGGUGAAAUUCGCAGAUAUUCGGAGGAACACCAGUGGCGUAGGCGGCCAACUGGACGGGAACUGACGCUGAGGCAUGAAAGUGUGGGGAGCAAACAGGAUUAGAUACCCUGGUAGUCCACACCGUAAACUAUGUGUGCUAGUUGUUGGAUAGCUUAGCUAUUCAGUGACGGAGCUAACGUUUUAAGCACACCGCCUGGGAAGUACGGCCGCAAGGUUAAA
rnacentral:rRNA from 1 species